rnacentral:tRNA from 1 species
GAGGGUAUAGCUCAGUGGUAGAGCACGUUUAGCGUGCACGAGGUCCUGGGUUCAAUCUCCAGUACCUCUG